rnacentral:lncRNA from 1 species
UUUUUUUUUUUAUCUAGAAACUCAAGCUGCAUGUAUUUGAGCCUUCAAGUCAGCUGCUAAUUAUGGCCUUUACAUCCUGGGUGGCCACAAACCUUUAAGUUGUCAACACACAGUGGAUAAGAAUGAACAUGAGAUGCCAUGUGUGUCACAGAGACUGAGAGAUGAAGACAUGCAGUUCACUAAAUCUAUGGUGGACCAAGAGACCUGUGUGCUGGAUCGGGAGAAGUCAACAUUUGGAGGAACAACCAACUGCUUUGCCUGUGGCAGGUAUACAACCAGAUAGAUUUGGUAAUAUUCUCUCUUCAAACUGCCUGUCUUCCUCAUCUUCCUCUUGUGCAAACCUACUGUACACACAAUGUACCCACCUGUGAAUUCAGCUCUGAGAAAGGCUCAGCUAUUAUUCUGAGUGUCACAGCUCUGUAGCCCAUUUUCUAUAAGACUGAAAAGCCUCUCACGAUACUGAAAGGAAGGACACAGGAAAUAAUACAUCUUGUUUUGGGCAUCUGUGUCUCUUUCUCAUUUUUAUUUCCCCAGAAGCUCCACGGCUUCCCUCAAAGAAUCCUUCCUAGGAACAGUGAGAGAAUGCUGGAGCCCAGAACAUUGCUUUCCAUCAAAGCGAUUGCAGGAUAUUUUGUGUUGGGUCGUCAUCUUUUCCAUCUUCGCCUGGGUGUGUCUUCUGCUCUCAGAAACUACCAGCUGGGUUCCAGAUGGGAUUAAGUUCUUCUUCUUAAUUGGCUGCAGUGAUUGGCAAUAGAAACAGAUUGCAAAUAGAAUUAAACAUAGAAAGAAGCUGUAGGACGAAAACACCCACUUUGCUUGUGCAAUGUAAUAGGCACUACAUAGGCAAGGAGUCAGCCCUUCCCAGUGGCUCCUUGCUGCUUGAAACAGAACAUUAAUCUGAAAGCAGCCACUACCAUUCAGUUCCCCAGAUCUGUGGCAGAUUGCCUCUACAAUGUUGUCCAAGAAUUCAACCCUGGAGGGGCAACCUGUCUAGUUGUUAAGGAAUGUCUUACACACCAUACUCUAUGGAUUUAAAGGCAGUGAGCAUAGCAGUUGGGCAUUUAUUCCAGGGCCAGAUUAUUCAUAUUGGAAUGACAACUCAGUCAGUGGCUAUAUUAUUUUGGCCAACUCUGACUAGAGUGUUUGUCCUCUGUAAAAUUAGGUGACCUACUUCUUUCAAAAGGACAAAAUCAGUCUGUCUAUCUUAAUUUAUGUCUGAAGUUUACAAUGUGGAAUCAAGAAUAAGUGUGAAAACAGCCGGU